GAUGAACGCUGGCGGCGUGCCUAAUACAUGCAAGUCGAGCGAACAGAUGAGGAGCUUGCUCCUCUGACGUUAGCGGCGGACGGGUGAGUAACACGUGGAUAACCUACCUAUAAGACUGGGAUAACUUCGGGAAACCGGCGCUAAUACCGGAUAAUAUAUUGAACCGCAUGGUUCAAUAGUGAAAGACGGUUUUGCUGUCACUUAUAGAUGGAUCCGCGCCGCAUUAGCUAGUUGGUAAGGUAACGGCUUACCAAGGCAACGAUGCGUAGCCGACCUGAGAGGGUGAUCGGCCACACUGGAACUGAGACGCGGUCCAGACUCCUACGGGAGGCAGCAGUAGGGAAUCUGCCGCAAUGGGCGAAAGCCUGACGGAGCAACGCCGCGUGAGUGAUGAAGGUCUUCGGAUCGUAAAACUCUGUUAUUAGGGAAGAACAAAUGUGUAAGUAACUAUGCACGGCUUGACGGUACCUAAUCAGAAAGCCACGGCUAACUACGUG
rnacentral:rRNA from 1 species